rnacentral:rRNA from 1 species
GAAGGGGGCUAGCGUUGCUCGGAAUUACUGGGCGUAAAGGGAGCGUAGGCGGAUAGUUUAGUCAGAGGUGAAAGCCCAGGGCUCAACCUUGGAAUUGCCUUUGAUACUGGCUAUCUUGAGUAUGGGAGAGGUGAGUGGAACUCCGAGUGUAGAGGUGAAAUUCGUAGAUAUUCGGAAGAACACCAGUGGCGAAGGCGACUCACUGGCCCAUUACUGACGCUGAGGCUCGAAAGCGUGGGGAGCAAACAGGAUUAGAUACCCUGGUAGUCCACGCCGUAAACGAUGUCAACUAGCCGUUGGAAUCCUUGAGAUUUUAGUGGCGCANCUAACGCAUUAAGUUGACCGCCUGGGGAGU